UACGUAGGGUGCAAGCGUUGUCCGGAAUUAUUGGGCGUAAAGAGCUCGUAGGUGGCCUGUCGCGUCGGCUGUGAAAACUCGAGGCUCAACCUCGAGACGUCGGUUGAAACCGUUUGGCUAGAGUCCGGAAGAGGAGAGUGGAAUUCCCGGUGUAGCGGUGAAAUGCGCAGAUAUCGGGAAGAACACCCGUGGCGAAGGCGGCUCUCUGGGACGGUACUGACGCUGAGACGCGAAAGCGUGGGGAGCGAACAGG
rnacentral:rRNA from 1 species